UACAGAGGUCUCAAGCGUUGUUCGGAUUUAUUGGGCGUAAAGGGUGCGUAGGCUGCGGGGUAAGUUGGAUGUGAAACGCCAUGGCUUAACCAUGGCACGGCAUUCAAUACUGCCCCGCUAGAGCGCUAGUGAGGAGACUGGAAUUUACGGUGUAGCAGUGAAAUGCGUAGAUAUCGUAAGGAACAUCAGUGGCGAAGGCGAGUCUCUAGAUAGCAUGCUGACGCUGAGGCACGAAAGCCAGGGGAGCAAACGGG
rnacentral:rRNA from 1 species